CUAUUAGAUCAUGACCAUGGUUGUUUAGAGUUGAUAAAAUCUUCAAUGUUUCAAACCUAUUAAUGAUUGAUCAAUAGAUCAUUCAUGAUACUUUGAGGCAUUGAUAUGUUGCCUCUAUUUCAACCAUAUUUGAGUCAUUUUAUGCAUAUAUGAAACCAUAUUCUUUACAUUAACUUUCUAAUCAAUUUGCUUAUUGUGAUUCCACUAACCACUAACUACUAAUUUCUAACAUUUAUAUUAUUGCACUUUAUUUCCUUUUCUAUUUAUUUG
rnacentral:lncRNA from 1 species